rnacentral:rRNA from 1 species
CCUACGGGCGGCAGCAGUGAGGAAUAUUGGUCAAUGGACGAGAGUCUGAACCAGCCAAGUAGCGUGAAGGAUGACUGCCCUAUGGGUUGUAAACUUCUUUUAUAUGGGAAUAAAAUGUUCCACGUGUGGGAUUUUGUAUGUACCAUAUGAAUAAGGAUCGGCUAACUCUGUGCCAGCAGCCGCGGUAAUACGGAGGAUCCGAGCGUUAUCCGGAUUUAUUGGGUUUAAAGGGAGCGUAGGUGGAUUGUUAAGUCAGUUGUGAAAGUUUGCGGCUCAACCGUAAAAUUGCAGUUGAAACUGGCAGUCUUGAGUACAGUAGAGGUGGGCGGAAUUCGUGGUGUAGCGGUGAAAUGCUUAGAUAUCACGAAGAACUCCGAUUGCGAAGGCAGUUCACUGGACUGCAACUGACACUGAGGCUCGAAAGUGUGGGUAUCAAACAGGAUUAGAUACCCCUGUAGUC